AUUGAACGCUGGCGGCAUGCCUAACACAUGCAAGUCGAACGGUAACAGGCCUUCGGGCGCUGACGAGUGGCGGACGGGUGAGUAAUGCAUAGGAAAUUGCCUUGAAGUGGGGGAUAGCCCGGAGAAAUCCGGAUUAAUACCGCAUAUGCUCUACGGAGCAAAGUGGGCCUCUGAUUUAAGCUCAUGCUUUGAGAUAUGCCUAUGUCGGAUUAGCUUGUUGGUGGGGUAAAAGCCUACCAAGGCGACGAUCCGUAGCUGGUUUGAGAGGAUGAUCAGCCACACUGGGACUGAGACACGGCCCAGACUCCUACGGGAGGCAGCAGUGGGGAAUAUUGGACAAUGGGCGCAAGCCUGAUCCAGCAAUGCCGCGUGUGUGAAGAAGGCCUGCGGGUUGUAAAGCACUUUUAUCGGGAAAGAAAUCCUUAAGGUUAAUAACCUUGAGGC
rnacentral:rRNA from 1 species